UACGGAGGAUGCAAGCGUUAUCCGGAUUCAUUGGGUUUAAAGGGUGCGCAGGCUGAUUAUUAAGUCAGGGGUGAAAUCUCUCGGCUCAACCGAGAAACUGCCUUUGAUACUGAUAGUCUAGAGUAUAGUUGAAGUUGGCGGAAUGUGUCAUGUAGCGGUGAAAUGCUUAGAUAUGACACAGAACACCGAUCGCGAAGGCAGCUAGCUAAGCUAUAACUGACGCUCAUGCACGAAAGCGUGGGGAUCAAACAGGAUUAGAUACCCUGGUAGUCCACGCUGUAAACGAUGAUUACUCGAUGUUGGCGAUACACAGUCAGCGUCUAAGCGAAAGCAAUAAGUAAUCCACCUGGGGAGUACGAUCGCAAGAUUGAA
rnacentral:rRNA from 1 species